rnacentral:sRNA from 2 species
UGGGCUGAUCGAAAGAUCCGGGUCCAUCGAGGGCGGGGAAGUUCCCC